GAUGAAGAACGCAGCGAAAUGCGAUAAGUAGUGUGAAUUGCAGAAUUCAGUGAAUCAUCGAAUCUUUGAACGCACAUUGCGCCCUCUGGUAUUCCAUGGGGCAUGCCUGUUCGAGCGUCAUUUGUACCUUCAAGCUCUGCUUGGUGUUGGGUGUUUGUCUCGCCUCUGCGUGUAGACUCGCCUCAAAACAAUUGGCAGCCGGCGUAUUGAUUUCGGAGCGCAGUACAUCUCGCGCUUUGCACUCAUAACGACGACGUCCAAAAGUACAUUUUUACACUCUUGACCUCGGAUCAGGUAGGGAUACCCGCUGAACUUAAGCAUAUCAAUAAGCGGAGGA
rnacentral:misc_RNA from 1 species